rnacentral:rRNA from 1 species
AGUGAACGCUGGCGGUAGACCUAACACAUGCAAGUCGAACGGCAGCACAGUAAGAGCUUGCUCUUACGGGUGGCGAGUGGCGGACGGGUGAGGAAUACAUCGGAAUCUACUUUUUCGUGGGGGAUAACGUAGGGAAACUUACGCUAAUACCGCAUACGACCUACGGGUGAAAGCAGGGGAUCUUCGGACCUUGCGCGAUUGAAUGAGCCGAUGUCGGAUUAGCUAGUUGGCGGGGUAAAGGCCCACCAAGGCGACGAUCCGUAGCUGGUCUGAGAGGAUGAUCAGCCACACUGGAACUGAGACACGGUCCAGACUCCUACGGGAGGCAGCAGUGGGGAAUAUUGGACAAUGGGCGCAAGCCUGAUCCAGCCAUACCGCGUGGAUGAAGAAGGCCUUCGGGUUGUAAAGCCCUUUUGUUGGGAAAGAAAAGCAGCAGGUUAAUACCCCGCUGUUCUGACGGUACCCAAAGAAUAAGCACCGGCUAACUUCGUG